GGAUUUGAACUUCGGACCUUCGGAAGAGCAGUCGGGUGCUCUUACCCACUGAGCCAUCUCACCAGCCCAACAUUAUCUUCUUAAAAAACAAAAAAGGGGAGAAUUAUAUCCCUGUGCACAUUAUUUAAAUCAUGCUUUUGAUUUUUAAAAAUUUAAAAUUGGAUGCCAAAGAACUCCUUGCUGAGUACCCUGACAAUGUGACAGGAAAGCUGUGUUGGGUGUAUAUUCUUGACACACCUUUGCUUGUCUAUGUCCCGGAUUAGACAAGCUAAGCUCCCUUGCUUCAAGCUUUUAGACCUUGUGGAACAGAGAACAUAGAGACUGUGGAAAAAUCAAUCAAAGGAGAAUGACUUUUAUAAUGACUCUUCUCUUUCCUUUAAUGUGACCAGUUAUUCUGGCUCUUACCACUGUUUCCUGAGAAGUAACAGUUUUUCUGUUGAUUCUCAAAGCCACUUCCCCCACUCCGGGUGGCCAGACCCUGGGUUUGAUCAUUGCUAAUUUGCAACUGAAUUCAGUCUCUAUGACAUCCCCACAGACAACCCUAACCCUGUUCCUUUUAACUUUUGAUUUGUAUUUCAAGUAGGUCAGUUACUUCCAUACAGACUCACCUUCAGCAAAGCUCAGGUGGCUGUUAUUCUUCGAUAUGAAGAGACGCAUUGAGUGCAUAUUGUGGCUUUGGUCUGAAUAAGAAAAAGGAACCCAGUAACCUGUGGUUGCUGGCAGCUACAAUGUAGAACUCUCAGCUAGUUUUGCAUCGAGCCUGCCUAGAUGCUACCCUGCUGCCACCAUGAAGAUGAUGGACUGAACCCUUGAACUUGUGAGCUAGCCCCAAUUAAAUGUUGUCCUUUAUAAGA